rnacentral:lncRNA from 1 species
CACGUCGUUGAUUCAAACGAAAGCAGAGUUAGCAAUGGCGCGAAAUGUUCAGAAACAUGGUGACGGGGAGACGGGGCUGGAUUGCUGUCGCGUACCGGAUCGUAGGCCAGCGACAGGAUGACGUCCAGCGCGGCGUCGGUGACGGCCAGGGCGACGCCGCGCUCGGCGAGCCGGACGGCCACGUCCUUCAUCUGCAGGCGAGCGACCUUCCUCAGCUGCUCGUGGGACAGCGGGUCGAAGACGACGAUCUCGUCCAGCCGGUUCAGCAG